CCUACGGGGGGCUGCAGUGGGGAAUAUUGCACAAUGGGGGAAACCCUGAUGCAGCAACGCCGCGUGAGCGAUGAAGGCCUUCGGGUCGUAAAGCUCUGUCCUAAGGGAAGAAUACUGACGGUACCUUAGGAGGAAGCCCCGGCUAACUACGUGCCAGCAGCCGCGGUAAUACGUAGGGGGCUAGCGUUAUCCGGAAUUACUGGGCGUAAAGGGUGCGUAGGCGGCCCUUCAAGUCAGAGGUGAAAGGCAACGGCUCAACCGUGGUAAGCCUUUGAAACUGUAGGGCUUGAGUGCAGGAGAGGAGGGUGGAAUUCCCGGGGAGGCGUGGAAAGCCGUGGUUUUUGGAGGAACACCAGUUGCGAAGGCGGCUCUCUGGACUGUAACUGACGCUGAGGCACGAAAGCGUGGGGAGCGAACAGGAUUAGAUACCCGGGUAGUC
rnacentral:rRNA from 1 species